rnacentral:rRNA from 1 species
CCUACGGGAGGCAGCAGUGAGGAAUAUUGGUCAAUGGACGAGAGUCUGAACCAGCCAAGUAGCGUGAAGGAUGACUGCCCUAUGGGUUGUAAACUUCUUUUAUAUGGGAAUAAAACGUUCCACGUGUGGGAUUUUGUAUGUACCAUAUGAAUAGGGAUCGGCUAACUCCGUGCCAGCAGCCGCGGUAAUACGGAGGAUCCGAGCGUUAUCCGGAUUUAUUGGGUUUAAAGGGAGCGUAGGUGGAUUGUUAAGUCAGUUGUGAAAGUUUGCGGCUCAACCGUAAAAUUGCAGUUGAAACUGGCAGUCUUGAGUACAGUAGAGGUGGGCGGAAUUCGUGGUGUAGCGGUGAAAUGCUUAGAUAUCACGAAGAACUCCGAUUGCGAAGGCAGUUCACUGGACUGCAACUGACACUGAGGCUCGAAAGUGUGGGUAUCAAACAGGAUUAGAUACCCGAGUAGUC